AGCCGGUGAACGCUGGGACGUGUCGGUGCAGCUAACCUCAUAAAACCACCACUGGGUUCUGAGGCUCGGGAGGGGAUCCUCAGGAGGGCACUCAGAGCGGCCACUAGGGGGGCUUCAUCAGGGGGUCCUCAUAGGGGCUCUUCAUCAGGAGCUCUUCAUCAGGAGGUCUUCAUCAGGGGGUCCUCAUCAGGGGGGCUUCAUCAGGAGCUCUUCAUCAGGAGGGCUUCAUCAGGGUUCUUCAUCAGGAGGUCUUCAUCAGGAGGGCUUCAUCAGGGUUCUUCCUCAGGAGGUCUUCAUCAGGAGGUCUUCAUCAGGAGGUCUUCAUCAGCUCUUCAUCAGGAGGUCUUCAUCAGGAGCUCUCCAUCAGCUCUUCAUCAGGAGGAGGUGCUGUUGCUCUGGAGGUUCUGUGCCCCCCCCCCCCGCCUGGUGUGAUGGAUGGCAGCGCUGUGUCAACACAGAUGUGUCCCGUUCCACAGCGGGCAGGGUGGGGGGGCGCCCUGUGACGUCAUGCUGGUGGAAACUGUGGAUAACAGCCGGCAGCAGGCUUCCUGUCGCUCAGAGCACAGCCCUCAGGGAGCCUUCGUUCAUCCCCAGCUCCGGUCCUGGUCCUCUGCUGGUCAGG
ensembl:lncRNA